CGCUGGCGGCGUGCCUAACACAUGCAAGUCGAGCGGGGACAUAUUGACGGAACGGAAGUUUCGGAUGGAAGGGAAGAUGAUGUGUCUAGCGGCGGACGGGUGAGUAACGCGUGAGCAACCUGUCCUUCACAGGGGGAUAACACAGCGAAAGUUGUACUAAUACCGCAUGAGACCACAACGGGACAUCCCGCAGGGGUCAAAGGAGUAAUCCGGUGAAGGGUGGGCUCGCGUCCGAUUAGAUAGUUGGUGAGGUAACGGCCCACCAAGUCGACGAUCGGUAGCCGACCUGAGAGGGUGAUCGGCCACAUUGGGACUGAGACACGGCCCAAACUCCUACGGGAGGCAGCAGUGGGGAAUAUUGGGCAAUGGGGGGAACCCUGAACCCCCAGCAACGCCGCGUGAGGGAAGAAGGUUUUCGGAUCGUAAACCUCUGUCCUUGGUGAAGAGUAAGAGACGGUAGCCAAGGAGGAAGCCCUGGCUAGCUACGUGCCAGCCGCAGC
rnacentral:rRNA from 1 species